GAUGAACGCUAGCGGCAGGCCUAAUACAUGCAAGCCGAACGGCAAGACUGAUAGCAAUAUUUGAUAUAGAGUGGCGCAAGGGUGCGUAACACGUAUGCAACCUGACCGCGACAGGCGGAUAGCUUCACGAAAGGGGAAUUAACCUACCAUAACACCAUGAGAACGCAUCUGAUCAUGGUUAAACCGCAAGUGGCCGCGGAUGGGCAUGCGGUUGAUUAGUUAGUUGGCGGGGUAAAGGCGCACCAAGGAGGUGAUCAAUCGGGGCUCUGUGAGGAUGGUCCCCCGCACUGGGACUGGGACACGGGCCAGACUCGUACGAGAGGCAGGAGUAGGGGGUAAUGGAGCGUGGGUGCGAGACUGAUCCAGCCAUGCCGCGUGGAGGAAGAAGGCCUUCUGAGGCGUAUACUGCGUGUACGUAUAGAUAAAAUACCCGUGCGCGGGGAAUUGAAGGUAACAGGGGAAUAAGCCACGGCUAACUACGUG
rnacentral:rRNA from 1 species